UGUUCUAUGUGUAUGAGAAUUUUGAAAACAAUCGAAUGGUGCAAAGGAGAGAUAUUGGCUCUGGAAGAUUGGCAUUAAGGUUGGAGAAGGAUGCCAACCAAUACCCAAGCACAUUUUUGAGGUUAUUGCCUAUUUAGUAAUUCCGAUCCUUUUCAAAAUUUUUGUGAUUGUUUUCAACUUAGUUGUUAAGAAAUGUAAAGAAUUUGAGUUAAGAUUGACGGUUUAUUCAUUAGUUAUUGAGGUUUAAAUCUGUCGUAGGAAUUAUUAGGAUUUGGUUAGUAAUUGGUUUAGGAUUAGGGUUCAGUUUAGGAUUUGGAUAGGGUUUGGUUUAGAGUUAGGAUUCGGUUUAGGAUUUGGAUAGGAUUUGGUUUAGGAUUUAGGAUAGGAUUUAGGAUAGGAUUUAGGGUUUGGUUUAGGAUAUGGAUAGGAUUUGAUUUAGGAUUUAAUUAGGGUUUAGUUUAGGAUUUAGAAUUUGGAUUUAGGGUUUGAUUAGGAUUUGGUUUAGGAUUUUAUUAGGAUUUUAUUAGGAUUUAAGAUUUAAUUAAUUUUGGCCUAAAGUUUGAAUGAAGUCCAAUAGGAUUUUAACUAGAAUUAAAUUAAAAUUGAAUUAAAAUAUAUUUGAAAGAUAUUUGUGAUUAUUCUAAUAUUUCUUUAAGAUUUUUUAUUAUUUCUUUGAAAUUUCUUUGAGGUUUCUUUGAAUUUG
rnacentral:lncRNA from 1 species